ensembl:lncRNA
UGUCCGCUUUGGUCCUGACUCCACGAGGGAAAUGACCCCGAAAGGAGCUGGAAUCUAAGGGCUGGCGUUUGUUCCUGUGGUGGAGACACACACUUCCAAAGAUGUGAAAAAUCCUCCCUGUUCUAAGUCAUUUUGCUUCCUGCCUCCGACAUGAAAAGGGGGCCGUGUUCUCUUUGAGGGGGUGUGCAGUCCACUCUGGUAUGAGUUAGGAGGGUCAGAGCCACUCGGGGUCCCUCAGUCUCAUAUGGUGGGAAGAACGUCUAGAAUGACCUGGGCAACCUCGCAGUCAGCCUUCCUGAGGAGCUGCACCAUUGACAUUCGCCCAGGCUGCAGCCGCUCAGCUGGACCCAAGUUGGACUGAGACCAGAGCCUGGCAUUGUCCCUCAGGCUGGAGAGGAGUGUCAAGAGGGAACUGAAGAACAAAGACAGCAGAUUCUGAGCUUUUAAUUUCAAAGACUUGGAUUCAGAGUGCAGCCUUGGGAAGAAGCUCCACGUCCGGUGUGUAUCUUUGAGGCCAAUAGACCUGAGGGAAACUCAUGGAGGCUCCAUCAGGCUCAGCCUCACCCCUCAAAGGGGUGUGGGAGAACACCCAAAGGUUUCAGUGGCCCACUGAGUAGGGCACGGAAGAGAGCAGACAGAGAGAGCCUACAACCCCUGGGAGCCAUGGCUGUCAGGUAGGGAGGGCACAGAGUAAGCUGCGUGGACCUGAAAGAUGGAGACCAGAAGUCCUUGGACAUGUCAGGAAAUGCCCAUGGGGCUGUGUGGAGAGCUGGCGGCAGCCAAGGGCCAUGAUGGGAGGACUGUGGGCAUCAUGGGAAUCAGGUGGACUGUUCUCCUCUGCAUGCCACACCCUCAGGUACACCCCUCAGCUCUUCUCUCUCUCAGUCCAGGGUUUUGGCCGUGAGUCUGUGUGGGUAAUCUUGUAUUUGUAUGUGUGUCAUCUUGUAUUUUGUUUGCUUACAAUUUUUUGAAAAUUAUACUUUAGCAUCCUUAGAGUCCCUCUCUAGACCUAAUAACUCACUUGGCAUAAAUAAGCAAACAAACUAAGCUGGCUCUAUCUAGCCCCGCUUAUUAGAAUGUGUGUGUGGGUACUUGUUGCCCUUCGUACUUGGUUGCAAUUCCAAGAGAGGAAACAUCUCACUUAAUAUCCUAUGUCAAGUAGGUAUUAUUUUUACCAUUUUACACAUGAAUAAAGUGUGGUUCAGAGAAGUAAAGUACAUUGCCCAAGCCCGCACAGCUAAUGGUAGCAGAGAUGGGAUUUGCACUCUGCAAGUUUCCCAAGACUCUGCUUUUCCGUCACAUCACACAAACUCCCUACUACUAGCCUAAGUCAAACAUCAAGUUGUAUAUGGAGAAAUAAUUCAACAUUGAAUAACCUUUCAGCACACACAUACAAACACAGAGAAAAGAAAAGAAAGAGUAGAAAGGAAAAUCUGCACUCAAUUCCAAACAAAACAAAACAAACUCAAACCCCAUAAAAUAAUAACUGCUUCCUUCCAUGCUUUAUCCACAGGCACCCCAAAUACAACAUGUCCCACACUGAGCUCAUGUCCUUUCUCCCACCCCAAUCUGCUCUUCCUCCUGUGUUUCUGAACUUGGUUGGUGGCAAUACCACCCAAACCAUGUCCCCUCAAAUUAGAAACCAAGUUGUCAUUUUUUACUUCUUUCUCUCUAACCCUCCUCUCCUUUAGUGCCAAACUAUUAGCCCUCAGAGUUGGAAUACUCUUCAGUAAAUCUUUUUCUUUCUGUUUAUUUCCUCUGCUGAUACUUAAGAGUGGCCUUCAGACUUUUUUUUACCUAAAUACCACCCAAAAUAAUUUUGAAAAACUAUGUAACUCCUAUAUAUUAGUAAGCUUCCCUCUAAAAUGUUUCAUCAUAAUUUCAAAUAUUUGCAAAGAAUCUAAUGCAACAUAUUAUGAAUACUGGCAUUUGAAAA